rnacentral:snoRNA from 1 species
CUUCCUGUCCACGGAAAAGCAUGUUCUUGUUGACUGGCAAAGCUGCCUCCAUUUAACUGGUACUGGAUUGGGACUUUUGCAAGGAGCAUUC